rnacentral:lncRNA from 1 species
CUUUAUUCUGAUUGGCUAACUGCACAUCACGUGUUAUUCCGUAAGCAAUUGUAUUGCUCAAUAAAACUUUUCAUUCAUGAUAACACGUGGUCCCACAAUAAAUUGUACAGGUGAAUUAAAUAAAACAAUAAUAAAAUUCGUGUUUUCAUGAUAAUUGCUAAAAAAAUGUAAUUAUAAGUAUUGAAUGCUUCUUUUUGUAACUUCAUAGGGUUGUAAAAGCGUUGACCGUGUGCACAUUUUUAUGUACUUCGGUCAACGCUUUUACACCCCAAUGAAGUUACAAAAAGAAGCAUUCAAUUCUUAAGUGUUACUCCUCCAAAACCAUACAAAGUCGGAUAUAUUUGUGAUAUGACGUAUACAUGUAGUGUUUUGUACUUCCUUUAUUUGUCUUUGAAACAAUCUUUUUUUCCUCAGAAAAAGCCAAAAUAUCCAAAUUCGGAGACUGCAU